GGGAAUAGCUCAGUUGGUAGAGCGCAACCUUGCCAAGGUUGAGGUCGCGAGUUCGAGCCUCGUUUCCCGCUCCA
rnacentral:tRNA from 1 species